AAGAAGGCUUCACUAGAAGCCAUUAUAUUUUCACAUAAUAUCAUUUU
rfam:Plasmodium gonderi DNA, contig: Chr09.